AGUGCGCGUGGUGGAUGCCUUGGCGAAGACCGGCGAAGAAGGACGUGUAAGCCUGCGAAAAGCGUGGGGGAGUUGGCAAUAGAACGUUAAUCCCACGGUGUCCGAAUGGGGAAACCCACUUCCUUUUGGAAGUAUUUUUAGUUGAAUCCAUAGACUAAAAAGGCGAACCGGGUGAACUGAAACAUCUCAGUAGCCCGAGGAAAAGAAAUCAACCGAGAUUCCCCGAGUAGUGGCGAGCGAAAGGGGAGGAGCCUGUUAUUUUUACUUAAUUCAUCAGCCGAACAACUUGGAAAGGUUGGCGACAAAGGGUGAUAGCCCCGUAGGCGAAGAUGAGUUGAGGGAACUGAGGUAACGAGAAGUAGGGCGGGGCACGAGAAACCCUGUCUGAACAUGGGGGGACCAUCCUCCAAGGCUAAAUACGUGUCUUCGACCGAUAGUGAACAAGUACCGUGAGGGAAAGGCGAAAAGAACCCCGGGAGGGGAGUGAAAGAGAACCUGAAACCGCGUGCAUACAAACAGUGGGAGCUCUAUUUAUAGAGUGACUGCGUACCUUUUGUAUAAUGGGUCAGCGACUUACGUUGCGUUGCGAGCUUAACCGAAUAGGGGAGGCGUAGCGAAAGCGAGUCUGAAUAGGGCGAAUAGUAGCGUGAUGUAGACCCGAAACCGGAUGAUCUAUCCAUGGCCAGAUUGAAGGUUUGGUAACACAAACUGGAGGAUCGAACCCACUAACGUUGAAAAGUUAGGGGAUGAGCUGUGGAUAGGGGUGAAAGGCUAAACAAAUCCGGAGAUAGCUGGUUCUCCCCGAAAGCUAUUUAGGUAGCGCGUUGCAUAUGACUUGCGGGGGUAAAGCACUGUUAUGGAUAGGGGGUCAUUGCGACUUACCAAACCAUGGCAAACUCUGAAUACCGCAAAGUGAAGAGUGCAGCAGACAGACGGUGGGUGCUAACGUUCAUCGUCAAGAGGGAAACAACCCAGACCGUCGGCUAAGGUCCCGAAGACACAGUUUAGUGGGAAACGAGGUGGGAAGGCAUAGACAGCUAGGAGGUUGGCUUAGAAGCAGCCAUCCUUUAAAGAAAGCGUAAUAGCUCACUAGUCGAGUCGUUCUGCGCGGAAGAUGUAACGGGGCUCAAACUGUGCACCGAAGCUGCGGAUAUCUUUUUAAGAUAUGGUAGGGGAGCGUUCUGUAGGUCUGUGAAGGUGAGGUGUAAGCCUUGCUGGAGAUAUCAGAAGUGCGAAUGCUGACAUGAGUAGCGAUAAAGGGGGUGAAAGGCCUCCUCGCCGAAAAUCUAAGGUUUCCUGCGCAACGUUCAUCGGCGCAGGGUUAGUCGGCACCUAAGGCGAGGCUGAAAAGCGUAGUUGAUGGCAAACGGGUUAAUAUUCCCGUACCGAAUGUAAGUAUGCGAAGUGGGGACGAAGAGGGUUAGGUCCGCUGCCUGUUGGAAUAGGUAGUCUAAGCGUGUAGGAGCACCUUGUAGGCAAAUCCGCAAGGCGAGUCUGAGGCGUGAUGGGGAGGUGUGCUUGGCACACCGAAGGGGUUGAUACCGAGCUUCCGGGAAAAGCCACUAAGUAGUAGCUUAUAUUUGACCGUACCGUAAACCGACACAGGUGGAUGGGAUGAGUAUUCUCAGGCGCUUGAGAGAAUAGAGGAGAAGGAACUCGGCAAAAUAGCACCGUAACUUUGGGAGAAGGUGUGCCCUGAUGAUGUGAAGGUAGUUCUACUGGAGCAAUAAGGGGUUGCAAUGAAGAGGUGGCUGCGACUGUUUAAUAAAAACACAGCACUCUGCAAACACGUUAAGUGGACGUAUAGGGUGUGACGCCUGCCCGGUGCCGGAAGGUUAAGUGAUGGGGUGCAAGCUCUUGAUCGAAGCCCCGGUAAACGGCGGCCGUAACUAUAACGGUCCUAAGGUAGCGAAAUUCCUUGUCGGGUAAGUUCCGACCUGCACGAAUGGCGUAACGAUGGCCACGCUGUCUCCUCCUCUAACUCAGCGAAGUUGAAAUGUUUGUGAAGAUGCAAUCUCCCCGCGGCAAGACGGAAAGACCCCAUGAACCUUUACUGUAGCUUUGCACCGGACUUUGAGCCGGUUUGUGUAGGAUAGGUGGGAGACUGAGAAGAGGGGACGCUAGUUCUCUUGGAGUCGUCGUUGAAAUACCACCCUGAUUUGUUUGGAGUUCUAACCUAAGAGAGUGAAUCCUCUCUGGGGACUGUGCAUGGUGGGCAGUUUGACUGGGGCGGUCUCCUCCCAAAAGGUAACGGAGGAGUGCGAAGGUAUGCUUAGGGCGGUCGGACAUCGCCUGUAAAGUGCAAUGGCAAAAGCGUGCUUAACUGCGAGACAGACAAGUCGAGCAGGUGCGAAAGCAGGUCAUAGUGAUCCGGUGGUUCUGUAUGGAAGGGCCAUCGCUCAACGGAUAAAAGGUACUCUGGGGAUAACAGGCUGAUACCGCCCAAGAGUUCAUAUCGACGGCGGUGUUUGGCACCUCGAUGUCGGCUCAUCACAUCCUGGGGCUGUAGUCGGUCCCAAGGGUAUGGCUGUUCGCCAUUUAAAGUGGUACGCGAGCUGGGUUUAAAACGUCGUGAGACAG
rnacentral:rRNA from 1 species